GAAUAAUCAAUUACCAUAGGGCAUAAUCGAUUAUCACAAGCAAAAGUAGAAAAUGCUUUAUCUCGACAAUAGUCAAUUAUCAUUAAGGAUAAUCAAUUAUCACGUGUUUCAAAACCCAUAACUACCUGAAAUAAUAUUGAUUAUCACUUUUCAUAAUCGAUUAUCUCUAGCAAUUGGGAGUUGUCUUUUCAUUUUCUAACCCCU
rnacentral:lncRNA from 1 species